CCCCUCUCGGGUUGGUACAUGGAGAGUUUCCAGGACUCUACCAGUCUUGACUAUGGGAGGGAGAGUCGAGCAGAGACCUACCCAUUCCCUUCCUAGCUUGGCCAGUGGCUAGAGAGUGGAAGGCCAUCUGCCACAAGU